rnacentral:rRNA from 1 species
GAUGAACGCUGGCGGCGUGCCUAAUACAUGCAAGUCGAGCGAACGGACGAGAAGCUUGCUUCUCUGAUGUUAGCGGCGGACGGGUGAGUAACACGUGGAUAACCUACCUAUAAGACUGGGAUAACUUCGGGAAACCGGAGCUAAUACCGGAUAAUAUUUUGAACCGCAUGGUUCAAAAGUGAAAGACGGUCUUGCUGUCACUUAUAGAUGGAUCCGCGCUGCAUUAGCUAGUUGGUAAGGUAACGGCUUACCAAGGCAACGAUGCAUAGCCGACCUGAGAGGGUGAUAGGCCACACGGGAACUGGAACACGGUCCAGACUCCUACGGGAGGCAGCAGUAGGGAAUCUUCCGCAAUGGGCGAAAGCCUGACGGAGCAACGCCGCGUGAGUGAUGAAGGUCUUCGGAUCGUAAAACUCUGUUAUUAGGGAAGAACAUAUGUGUAAGUAACUGUGCACAUCUUGACGGUACCUAAUCAGAAAGCCACGGCUAACUACGUG